CUGCGUCUGGGGCAGUGGUUUCUGUUCUCUUUGGCGAUGGACUCCAAGCAUAAAGAUAAAGUGGAGAAUUAAGUCAGUUGCUAUCAAGGACCUUCUGGAUCCUUCCCAAAGUGUUUUUUAACCUUAAUACUUUGAGAUUGUGAUGAAUAGAGUCUAGAUUUUCUUGAAGAAGAGGGGAAACUUGGAUAUGAAAAGUCGGAAGUGAAUUUUUUGCAACUUGACUGAAACCAACUGAAAAGUGUAGAACAGUGAGGGGAUCUGACCACGGAUUAGGUAUUAGAGACUAGAAUUCUGGUAGGGUUUUUGAAGUAGAACAGUUUCAUUGUGUUUAUAUUUCUUGUGACACAUGCUGUCUUACUGCAGUAUUUUUAGGUGAAUGACUUUUGUAGCCUUUGGGUAAGGCAGUCCAUUUGGGGUGUUGUUGAUGUACUGUGGAUAAUGAAAUGCACAUGGUAGUGAGCGACUGGAGCUGAGUGAUUGACACAUGGGAUUCACUGUUCUGUUGGUAUGUUUUGGAAGGUUGGGGUUUUGUUUGUUUGUUUUUGUUUUUGUUUUUAGUGAAUUUUUUUCUUUUUUUGGAGACAGUAUCUGUAGACCUAACUGGCCUCAAACUCAGAUCUUUCUGCCACUUCCUCUCAAAAGCUGUGAUUAAAGGUGUGCACCUUCAUGCCUGCUUGAUUUCACAGUUUUACCUACUAAAAAUGUCAUAGCAUGGCAUGGUGGCAUACACAUUCAAUUCAGGCUACUGGGAAGGCUAAAGUAAAGAAGAUCACAAGUUUGAGACAGCAUGGGCAGCAAUAAAAA